UACAGAGGUCUCAAGCGUUGUUCGGAUUCAUUGGGCGUAAAGGGUGCGUAGGUGGCGCCGUAAGUCAGGUGUGAAAUCUCGGGGCUUAACUCCGAAACUGCAUUUGAUACUGCGGUGCUUGAGGACUGGAGAGGAGACUGGAAUUUACGGUGUAGCAGUGAAAUGCGUAGAGAUCGUAAGGAAGACCAGUGGCGAAGGCGGGUCUCUGGACAGUUCCUGACACUGAGGCACGAAGGCCAGGGGAGCAAACGGG
rnacentral:rRNA from 1 species